CAACAAGGGAAAAGGGGAGGAGACUGAAAACCAACAUGAUGUAGGUCGAUCAGGGGCACGUUUCCGCAUAACCCUGGGUUUUAGAGCAUUGAUCAAACACGCCUGCUCUGACUUGGAUGCGGGCUGCACUAUUCGUGCUGAACCAGAAGCUCCGCCCCCACUGAUUGACCAGGUUAAACCGUGUUGCUUACGGCUAUCCAAUCCUAGGACUAUACAGCUGCAUAUGGUGUAGCAGCCAGGGAUUUGAUAUUCAGGCACUUUCUCAACUUUUUUUUAUUUAUUCCUGAUCUCUUUGUACUUUACAAAAACGUUUUUUUUUAAAUACAUGAGAGGAGAACACCGGAUGCAUUCCCGAGGAGGAGGACGAGGUGAAACUGAUCCUGCCUUAUUAUCUGGGGCACGGUGCGAUACCCAGAUGCUCUACAUACACCAGCAGUCCAACAGGAGAGAGCAGCUGCAUCCGGAAAGUCUCCCACUUCUGAGCGCUGGUGUUGAAACUCGCUGCCUGUCGAGGGCAGUAAACAAGCCAAACCCCUCAUAGCACCCACCUCCACAGUGGAGUACAGUUACUGAGCGAAAAUCUACUUUAAAGCACUGAAGUCCUAAGUGGGUGGACAUUACCACAUCUACGUUACUGUUGGCAUUUUUUGUUAGUUUUUUUACUUGAUAGUCAUCCUUAAUUUCAUUUUUGUUCCAUGCGUUUUUCCUGACAACUAAGAGGGCAGGAUCGGCCGGCACCUCGUGGUUGCGUGUCCUCGCCGCGUUUUGCAUACAUUGAUUCCAUUUUGAGUCACACUGAAUUUUCGUUUUCAUCCCUGAUGCAAGCUUUGUAAGUGUUUUUUUUUCGUUCAUCCGAAGGCUCUGGGAAGGUUAAGCUUAAAUUGUCGUUGGGGAUCCAGUUCCUUCAGGGACAACAUCUACACAAGCCUGUGACUGCCAUUGUUUCUAUAAUCCUGUCAAAUCUUUAGAAACACUACGGUGAAUCAGGACGGGUUCUAGACUGCUUUGAUGGGGGGGGUGUUGGAGGGAGGGUUUCUACCCAUUAUAUAGUAUGUGAUGUAAAAUAUAAGGCUAUUUUCAGCUUUCCCCUAAUUCCUUUUAGUAUUGUUUACUGGAAAAUGUUUUACUGAUGCCCAUUUUCACAACCCAAUCCAGCCUGAAAAUAACAAUAUUUGUCUGAUCACAUGAAGAUUUAAGGAUAUUAGAAAGGUUUAACAAAUAUAUAUUUUUCCCACCUCCAUCCCCUCUUAGUAGGACAAUAUUACAAUUAUCUUAAAUGUAUAUUAGACAAAUUAGACGUUAAACCAUAUGAAUGUUAGAACCUUUCAGUAUUUUUACCUGCCACAACCCCCUUGGAGGACAUUGUAUCUUUCUUAUAGUUAUACAUUCACUUAAAUAAUAUUAAGGAGGCUUAUAUAUUUUCGUGGUUCUCCUUUCUAAAACCAUUCCUAAACAUUCCCAACACUUUCCCUGAAACAAAUUUUUAAUUUGUUAAUUCCGCUUUGUAAAAAGUACACCUCGAUCUUUUUGUGCGUCCAGGUUAAUUACGCCAGCCACUGGCUUUCACCAUACCAGCUCGGGUUGAGUGGUCCGAUCAAAUAGACGUUUAGGGAAUUAUUUAAGAAUGGGCUGCGAGGGUGCGCUUGUGAUCAGCUCAUGCUUCAAGAACUACGUGGGUUCUGUAUCUCGGUGGAAGCAAGGGUCAAGAGGGCUAGCGGCCGAACGCAAUUGUGCUGGGGCGAGAAGCAAGUGCACCACUUGGCCAGAAACAUUCCGACAUCCGCUGAGGUGCUACGUGGAUUUGGGAGAAAAAAUCGGUAAUGGUAUGUCUAUGCUAGCAAACCACUUGUGAUCAACCUCUUUCAGCCAACGCACAUCAAGUAGUUAGACGUGGUAGCUAGACGUGGCGUGGCAGAUGCCCAUGUCAAUAACUAUCAAAGCCCUCAUCCAGGACGAGUGGUCCCGCAAUACUGCAUACAACCAACCAGAAAAACAAAACAGAAGACUUUCAGCUUUUAGACCGUAAAGGUCUAAGGCAAAACAAGUAACACAACUGAUCAGACAGAACUACUAAAAGGCUGCGUAGUCUGAGUUAUAUUGGAGAACCGGCCAAUCAAAUAUUAGAAAGCGUUUUGAAAAUUACAAGUUUUUGAUUGGUCAACGAGUGAAAAACAAAUGUUUUUCUUGUUUAUUGUUUGAGGGGGCAAGAUGGAAAUUUCGCCCCCCUGUGUAUACCAUAUGUAGUCUCAAGAAAGAUAACAGAUAUACUAAUACUAUAGCUUUUAGAACUUUGUAUAUUACAAUAACAAAUACUAUUUAGAAUAUGCAUACCUCAAGAACAAAGUCCACAUUAAAGCAAAUGUGUGUGUAUUUUUGGACACACGGAUAAUGUGUGUGUGUAUUUGUAGAGUGGGAGUGUCUUUGUAUACAGUAGAACGUUUUCAGAACCUAAACAUUCACCUCCCAGAGAGAAAUUAGUUGGAUUAGUCAACCAGAAACAUUAAUAUAAAGCAUAAUGCCAUACCGUUUGACCUGUAUUUUUUCCUACCCAACUACACACUUCUAAUUUAACUGAAGUAGUGGUCCCCAUGUGUCAUGAACAUGUCUUAGGCCUAGUUCAAGCAGACUUCUCUCAUUGCACCAAAACUGAAAAAAAGAUUGCUGCUCCUUUUUUGCAUGAGCGAAAUAGUGUGGCAUGUGAAAACAUUAUGCACGCCAUAAUGAACACAUUUUUUAUGUCAUUUUUAUGAGGCCUCUGCCUCUCUUUCAAUGUAAUGCACUGUCAUGGGCAGGUUUGAGAUGUGAAUGAUGGCCUCUUUGAGAUGGGAAGGAAGGCACUGUGAUACACACACACCAAAGUGAAAGAGAAGUACAGUACAGUUUGUUCCAGACCGGGAUAUCCGGGAACAAGGAGGUCAAACGCCAGCCGUCUUCAGAAGGUUGGAAACUCAGGAUGUUUCUCAGAGAUUCCCAUGUGGAAUUCAAACCUAGACUGCCAUUCCAAACAAAUGUUCCGGUCGGAGCAGUUUAUUUCUCUAAAAUGACCAGGACCCAUUGUGAUUCCCUAGUCUAGUGUAUUAAGGAACUUUUACAACAAUAUAGGCCACGUUUACCUUUACACACCAAAGACUUGGGCACAACCCAAUUGGUGUCUUCAUUGGUGACGUACAGUUUGUCAGCAUGCAUUAGGGUCAUCUUUGACUUAUCCCACAAAAACAGACUUUCGUCAAGGUUUAUGUAGUGUAAUUGGUUAAUAUUUCUACAUUAUCAGCAUCCUGUUUUAGCUUCUGAUGCUUUUGUAUUUACAACGUUUUGUGUGCUUGUUGUAAGAUAACAGUAGAGUCCAUGCACUUUUUCUUAAAACUUCAGAAAACCUACCAUUUUUAUAAGAAUAAAUUGAAUGUCGAUUUUCCAA
ensembl:lncRNA